CAGCAGCCGCGGGAAAACGAAGGGGGCUAGCGUUGUUCGGAAUCACUGGGCGUAAAGGGUGCGUAGGCGGAUUCUUAAGUCAGGGGUGAAAUCCCGAGGCUCAACCUCGGAACUGCCUUUGAUACUGGGGAUCUUGAGUCCGGAAGAGGUGAGUGGAACUGCAAGUGUAGUGGUGAAAUUCGUAGAUAUUCGCAAGAACACCGGUGGCGAAGGCGGCUCACUGGUCCGGAACUGACGCUGUGGCACGACAGCGUGGGGAGCAAACAGGAUUAGAUACCCCCGUAGUCCCUGUCUCUUAUCC
rnacentral:rRNA from 1 species